GACUUCCAAUAAGUGCUUUAAUGACCGGAAUACGGCGGUCUACUGCGAAAGCUCUCGCUGGAUAAUGCAUCACUGAGCCUGAAGGAGCGAAAAAGCAAAGAACUAUAGGAAGCAAUAUGAACUUACCUUGCCUAACGUUAUUCAAAUUGAUGGAAACGUACUUGUCACGAUCGGGACGCAUGUGUUCGUGCCAGAAUCCGGCUGUGUGCAUAAGUUCGUGGACAACUACUCCUGGUGCCCAGCUGGCAAUGCAUCCAUCAUCCAGGCUUACAUCUUGGGCCCCGCCUAUGCGGCCGACGUAGCUCCAACAACUUUUUACGAAAACAGACGUUGUCGUAUUGUGCUUGUACCAAAAA